rnacentral:rRNA from 1 species
UACGUAGGGUGCGAGCGUUGUCCGGAAUUAUUGGGCGUAAAGAGCUUGUAGGCGGUUUGUCGCGUCUGCCGUGAAAAUCCGAGGCUCAACCUCGGACUUGCGGUGGGUACGGGCAGACUAGAGUGUGGUAGGGGAGACUGGAAUUCCUGGUGUAGCGGUGAAAUGCGCAGAUAUCAGGAGGAACACCGAUGGCGAAGGCAGGUCUCUGGGCCACUACUGACGCUGAGUGAGCGAAAGCCAGGGGAGCAAACGGG